GACGAACGCUGGCGGCGUGCUUAACACAUGCAAGUCGAACGGAAAGGCCCUGCUUUUGUGGGGUGCUCGAGUGGCGAACGGGUGAGUAACACGUAAGUAACCUGCCCUUGACUUUGGGAUAACUUCAGGAAACUGGGGCUAAUACCGGAUAGGAGCUCCUGCUGCAUGGUGGGGGUUGGAAAGUUUCGGCGGUUGGGGAUGGACUCGCGGCUUAUCAGCUUGUUGGUGGGGUAGUGGCUUACCAAGGCUUUGACGGGUAGCCGGCCUGAGAGGGUGACCGGCCACAUUGGGACUGAGAUACGGACCAGACUCCUACGGGAGGCAGCAGUGGGGAAUAUUGCACAACGGGCGGAAGCCUGAUGCAGCAACGCCGCGGGCGGGAUGACGGCCUUCGGGUUGUGAACCGCUUUCGCCUGUGACGAAGCGUGAGUGACGGUAAUGGGUAAAGAAGCACCGGCUAACUACGUG
rnacentral:rRNA from 1 species